rnacentral:rRNA from 1 species
AGCGGAGGAAAAGAAACUAACAAGGAUUCCCUUAGUAACGGCGAGUGAAGCGGGAAGAGCUCAAAUUUGAAAUCUUCAAGGUUCUACCUUGACGAAUUGUAGUUUAAAGAAGUGUUUUCUGUUAGAUGAGUAGCAAAAGUUCCUUGGAAUGGGACAUCAUAGAGGGUGAGAAUCCCGUAUUUGGUUAUUCAUUCUAGCUUUGUGAUACACUUUCAAAGAGUCGGAUUGUUUGGGAAUGCAGUCCAAAAUGGGUGGUAAAUUUCAUCUAAAGCUAAAUAUUGGCGAGAGACCGAUAGCGAACAAGUACCGUGAGGGAAAGAUGAAAAGAACUUUGAAAAGAGAGUUAAACAGUACGUGAAAUUGUCAAAAGGGAAGCGUUUGACACCAGUGUUGUUUUUCCGAAAAUCAAUUACGAAUGGCUUGAUUUUGUGUUGUAUUGACCUUAUCAGCUUUCUGCACUUUUUUCGAGUCUUUCUUAAUGCACUUUUCGGUUAACAAGUCAACAUCAAUUUCUUUUGUUGUAAAAGAGUAUUCGGAAGGUGGCUUUCUUUUCGGAGAAAGUGUUUAUAGCCCUAUACUUCUACAAUCGGAGAGAUUGAGGUCUGCAGCGUAGAUCCUUUGGGGUUAGAUACACUUGUGCUAAGUUGUAGCUUUUCAUAGACAACUUGUUGACUAUGUUUAGUCAUGCGGCUUACUCGCUUGUGCUAUUU